rnacentral:rRNA from 1 species
UUAAGCGACUAAGCGUACACGGUGGAUGCCCUGGCAGUCAGAGGCGAUGAAGGACGUGCUAAUCUGCGAAAAGCGUCGGUAAGGUGAUAUGAACCGUUACAGCCGGCGAUGUCCGAAUGGGGAAACCCAGUGUGAUUCGUCACACUAUCGUUAACUGAAUACAUAGGUUAACGAGGCGAACCGGGGGAACUGAAACAUCUAAGUACCCCGAGGAAAAGAAAUCAACCGAGAUUCCCCCAGUAGCGGCGAGCGAACGGGGAGCAGCCCAGAGUCUGAAUCAGCUUGUGUGUUAGUGGAACGGUCUGGAAAGUCCGACGGUACAGGGUGAUAGUCCCGUACACCAAAAUGCACAGGUUGUGAACUCGAAGAGUAGGGCGGGACACGUGGUAUCCUGUCUGAAUAUGGGGGGACCAUCCUCCAAGGCUAAAUACUCCUGACUGACCGAUAGUGAACCAGUACCGUGAGGGAAAGGCGAAAAGAACCCCGGCGAGGGGAGUGAAAAAGAACCUGAAACCGUGUACGUACAAGCAGUGGGAGCACCUUCGGGUGUGACUGCGUACCUUUUGUAUAAUGGGUCAGCGACUUAUAUUCUGUAGCAAGGUUAACCGUAUAGGGGAGCCGCAGGGAAACCGAGUCUUAACUGGGCGUUAAGUUGCAGGGUAUAGACCCGAAACCCGGUGAUCUAGCCAUGGGCAGGUUGAAGGUUGGGUAACACUAACUGGAGGACCGAACCGACUAAUGUUGAAAAAUUAGCGGAUGACUUGUGGCUGGGGGUGAAAGGCCAAUCAAACCGGGAGAUAGCUGGUUCUCCCCGAAAGCUAUUUAGGUAGCGCCUCGUGAAUUCAUCUUCGGGGGUAGAGCACUGUUUCGGCUAGGGGGUCAUCCCGACUUACCAACCCGAUGCAAACUACGAAUACCGAAGAAUGUUAUCACGGGAGACACACGGCGGGUGCUAACGUCCGUCGUGAAGAGGGAAACAACCCAGACCGCCAGCUAAGGUCCCAAAGUCAUGGUUAAGUGGGAAACGAUGUGGGAAGGCACAGACAGCCAGGAUGUUGGCUUAGAAGCAGCCAUCAUUUAAAGAAAGCGUAAUAGCUCACUGGUCGAGUCGGCCUGCGCGGAAGAUGUAACGGGGCUAAACCAUGCACCGAAGCUGCGGCAGCGACACUAUGUGUUGUUGGGUAGGGGAGCGUUCUGUAAGCCUGCGAAGGUGUGCUGUGAGGCAUGCUGGAGGUAUCAGAAGUGCGAAUGCUGACAUAAGUAACGAUAAAGCGGGUGAAAAGCCCGCUCGCCGGAAGACCAAGGGUUCCUGUCCAACGUUAAUCGGGGCAGGGUGAGUCGACCCCUAAGGCGAGGCCGAAAGGCGUAGUCGAUGGGAAACAGGUUAAUAUUCCUGUACUUGGUGUUACUGCGAAGGGGGGACGGAGAAGGCUAUGUUAGCCGGGCGACGGUUGUCCCGGUUUAAGCAUGUAGGCUGGUUAUCCAGGCAAAUCCGGAUAAUCAAGGCUGAGGUGUGAUGACGAGGCACUACGGUGCUGAAGUAACAAAUGCCCUGCUUCCAGGAAAAGCCUCUAAGCAUCAGGUAACAUCAAAUCGUACCCCAAACCGACACAGGUGGUCAGGUAGAGAAUACCAAGGCGCUUGAGAGAACUCGGGUGAAGGAACUAGGCAAAAUGGUGCCGUAACUUCGGGAGAAGGCACGCUGGUGUGUAGGUGAAGUCCCUGCGGAUGGAGCUGAGACCAGUCGAAGAUACCAGCUGGCUGCAACUGUUUAUUAAAAACACAGCACUGUGCAAACACGAAAGUGGACGUAUACGGUGUGACGCCUGCCCGGUGCCGGAAGGUUAAUUGAUGGGGUUAUCCGUAAGGAGAAGCUCUUGAUCGAAGCCCCGGUAAACGGCGGCCGUAACUAUAACGGUCCUAAGGUAGCGAAAUUCCUUGUCGGGUAAGUUCCGACCUGCACGAAUGGCGUAAUGAUGGCCAGGCUGUCUCCACCCGAGACUCAGUGAAAUUGAACUCGCUGUGAAGAUGCAGUGUACCCGCGGCAAGACGGAAAGACCCCGUGAACCUUUACUAUAGCUUGACACUGAACAUUGAGCCUUGAUGUGUAGGAUAGGUGGGAGGCUUUGAAGCGUGGACGCCAGUCUGCGUGGAGCCAACCUUGAAAUACCACCCUUUAAUGUUUGAUGUUCUAACGUUGGCCCCUGACCGGGGUUGCGGACAGUGUCUGGUGGGUAGUUUGACUGGGGCGGUCUCCUCCCAAAGCGUAACGGAGGAGCACGAAGGUUAGCUAAUCCUGGUCGGACAUCAGGAGGUUAGUGCAAUGGCAUAAGCUAGCUUGACUGCGAGCGUGACGGCGCGAGCAGGUGCGAAAGCAGGUCAUAGUGAUCCGGUGGUUCUGAAUGGAAGGGCCAUCGCUCAACGGAUAAAAGGUACUCCGGGGAUAACAGGCUGAUACCGCCCAAGAGUUCAUAUCGACGGCGGUGUUUGGCACCUCGAUGUCGGCUCAUCACAUCCUGGGGCUGAAGUAGGUCCCAAGGGUAUGGCUGUUCGCCAUUUAAAGUGGUACGCGAGCUGGGUUUAGAACGUCGUGAGACAGUUCGGUCCCUAUCUGCCGUGGGCGCUGGAGAAUUGAGGGGGGCUGCUCCUAGUACGAGAGGACCGGAGUGGACGCAUCACUGGUGUUCGGGUUGUCAUGCCAAUGGCACUGCCCGGUAGCUAAAUGCGGAAGAGAUAAGUGCUGAAAGCAUCUAAGCACGAAACUUGCCCCGAGAUGAGUUCUCCCUGAGACUAUAAGUCUCCUGAAGGAACGUUAAAGACGAUGACGUUGAUAGGCCGGGUGUGUAAGCGCAGCGAUGCGUUGAGCUAACCGGUACUAAUGAACCGUGAGGCUUAACCUU